rnacentral:rRNA from 1 species
AUUGAACGCUGGCGGCAGGCCUAACACAUGCAAGUCGAACGGUAACAGGAAGAAGCUUGCUUCUUUGCUGACGAGUGGCGGACGGGUGAGUAAUGUCUGGGAAACUGCCUGAUGGAGGGGGAUAACUACUGGAAACGGUAGCUAAUACCGCAUAACGUCGCAAGACCAAAAAGGGGGACCCUCGGGCCUCUUGCCAUCGGAUGUGCCCAGAUGGGAUUAGCUAGUAGGUGGGGUAACGGCUCACCUAGGCGACGAUCCCUAGCUGGUCUGAGAGGAUGACCAGCCACACUGGAACUGAGACACGGUCCAGACUCCUACGGGAGGCAGCAGUGGGGAAUAUUGCACAAUGGGCGCAAGCCUGAUGCAGCCAUGCCGCGUGUAUGAAGAAGGCCUUCGGGUUGUAAAGUACAUUCAGCGGGGAGGAAGGGAGUAAAGUUAAUACCUUUGCUCAUUGACGUUACCCGCAGAAGAAGCACCGGCUAACUCCGUG